UAAUACGGAGGGUGCAAGCGUUAUCCGGAUUCACUGGGUUUAAAGGGUGCGUAGGCGGAUAUGUAAGUCCGUGGUGAAAUCUCUGGGCUUAACCCGGAAACUGCCAUGGAUACUAUGUGUCUUGAAUGUUGUUGAGGUGAGCGGAAUAUGUCAUGUAGCGGUGAAAUGCUUAGAUAUGACAUAGAACACCAAUUGCGAAGGCAGCUCACUAAGCAAAUAUUGACGCUGAGGCACGAAAGCGUGGGGAUCAAACAGGAUUAGAUACCCUGGUAGUCCACGCCCUAAACGAUGAUUACUCGACAUACGUGAUACACAAUGUGUGUCUGAGCGAAAGCAUUAAGUAAUCCACCUGGGAAGUACGACCGCAAGGUUG
rnacentral:rRNA from 1 species